rnacentral:rRNA from 1 species
UACGUAGGUGGCGAGCGUUGUCCGGAUUUACUGGGCGUAAAGGGAGCGUAGGCGGACUUUUAAGUGAGAUGUGAAAUACUCGGGCUCAACUUGAGUGCUGCAUUUCAAACUGGAAGUCUAGAGUGCAGGAGAGGAGAAUGGAAUUCCUAGUGUAGCGGUGAAAUGCGUAGAGAUUAGGAAGAUCACCAGUGGCGAAGGCGAUUCUCUGGACUGUAACUGACGCUGAGGCUCGAAAGCGUGGGGAGCAAACAGG